rnacentral:rRNA from 1 species
GUGCAGCAGGCGCGAAUACUCCGCAAUGCGGGCAACCGCGACGGGGCUACCCCGAGUGCCGGGCGAAGAGCCCGGCUUUUGCCCGGUCUAAAAAGCCGGGAGAAUAAGCGGGGGGCAAGUCUGGUGUCAGCCGCCGCGGUAAUACCAGCUCCGCGAGUGGUCGGGGUGUUUACUGGGCUUAAAGCGCCCGUAGCCGGCCCGGCAAGUCGCUCCUGAAAUCCCCGGGCUCAACCCGGGGGCGGGGGGCGAUACUGCCGGGCUAGGGGGCGGGAGAGGCCGCCGGUACUCCGGGGGUAGGGGCGAAAUCCGUUAAUCCCCGGAGGACCACCAGUGGCGAAAGCGGGCGGCCAGAACGCGCCCGACGGUGAGGGGCGAAAGCCGGGGGAGCAAAGGGGAUUAGAUACCCCUGUAGUCCCGGCCGUAAACGAUGCGGGCUAGCUGUCGGCCGGGCUUAGGGCCCGGCCGGUGGCGAAGGGAAACCGUUAAGCCCGCCGCCUGGGGAGUACGGCCGCAAGGCUGAAACUUAAAGGAAUUGGCGGGGGACAC